rnacentral:rRNA from 1 species
UACGUAGGGGGCGAGCGUUGUCCGGAUUCAUUGGGCGUAAAGCGCUUUAAGGCGGUUCGCUAAGUCUGGUGUGAAAGCUCCAGGCUCAACCUGGAGACGCCACUCGAUACUGGCGUGACUAGAGUUCGGUAGGGGACCACGGAAUUCCUGGUGUAGCGGUGAAAUGCGCAGAUAUCAGGAGGAACACCAGUGGCGAAGGCGGUGGUCUGGGCCGAUACUGACGCUGGAGAGCGAAAGCGUGGGGAGCGAACAGG